ACCAUCUUUUUCUCGGGGUUGUGCUACGUCCAAUGAGCGCACAGUGAGGGCAGUACUGCUAGCGCCUACACGACACACCUGCCUGAGCUAAAGGUUUGCUUUUACCUUGGUGCAAUUUUCAGUAAA
rnacentral:ncRNA from 1 species